UACGUAGGGUGCAAGCGUUGUCCGGAAUUAUUGGGCGUAAAGAGCUCGUAGGCGGUUUGUCGCGUCUGCUGUGAAAACUGGAGGCUCAACCUCCAGCCUGCAGUGGGUACGGGCAGACUAGAGUGCGGUAGGGGAGAUUGGAAUUCCUGGUGUAGCGGUGGAAUGCGCAGAUAUCAGGAGGAACACCGAUGGCGAAAGCAGAUCUCUGGGCCGUAACUGACGCUGAGGAGCGAAAGCAUGGGGAGCGAACAGG
rnacentral:rRNA from 1 species